AUACAGAGGGUGCAAGCGUUAAUCGGAUUUACUGGGCGUAAAGCGCGCGUAGGCGGCUAAUUAAGUCAAAUGUGAAAUCCCCGAGCUUAACUUGGGAAUUGCAUUCGAUACUGGUUAGCUAGAGUGUGGGAGAGGAUGGUGGAAUUCCAGGUGUAGCGGAGAAAUGCGUCGAGGUCUGGAGGAAUACCGAUGGCGAAGGCAGCCAUCUGGCCUAACACUGACGCUGAGGUGCGAAAGCAUGGGGAGCAAACAGGAGUAGAUACCCGAGUAGUCC
rnacentral:rRNA from 1 species